rnacentral:lncRNA from 1 species
CCAGAAAAGGAAGGAAUGAUCCAUGUCGGGCAAGGUGUGCACGUCAACCAGGAAUGCGGGCAACAUGCGGAGAGCAGAGUGCGACUCCAUGUUUUGCAAGAUCACUGCUGCUUCCAUAGGGCUGCUUUUGACUACACCUGAGGGAGAAAGGUACCACCAGGCUG